rnacentral:rRNA from 1 species
UACAGAGGUCCCAAGCGUUGUUCGGAUUCACUGGGCGUAAAGGGUGCGUAGGCGGUCGGGUAAGUCUGAUGUGAAAUCUCGGGGCUUAACCCCGAAACUGCAUUGGAUACUAUUCGGCUUGAGGAAUGGAGGGGAGACUGGAAUGCUCGGUGUAGCAGUGAAAUGCGUAGAUAUCGAGCGGAACACCAGUGGCGAAGGCGAGUCUCUGGACAUUUCCUGACGCUGAGGCACGAAAGCCAGGGGAGCAAACGGG